CUUGACCACUUGGCUUAACAAGAACUCAUUAGAUGUAGUACAAAGAGGAUGGAAAUCAACAUCACUAAUUAUUUUCAUUGAUGUAAGUGGACUAAUGUUUCUUGGAACUACUAGCAAUUUAGUUUAAAACAGUUAGAAUUGGUUUCGUUGAGUUGCAGAGGUUUAUUAUUUUGCCGAACUAAACCAAAUGUCCCCCCGCCUUUUCCCCAAUUUAGGCAUUACUUAGAAGUUUGCUUUGAAUGUGGUUCCACUUCCAUCAUGAAUGACAUAGUGAAAAUGAGAGCAUGUUUUUAUGGUUCUUUGGAAUUUUGAUUGUUUGCACAUCCACUUGAAUCCUGCUGAUACAUGGUCAUUGAGUUCUGUUCUUCUUCUUCUUUUUCUUCCUAUUUUCCUUAGCAUUAAAAUGUGCUUUUUUCCUUGCACUUACACUCCGUUUGUUUCGGCCCUCAUUUUCUAGCAUUUUGUAUGACAGGAAACAAAAGUAAACAAAAAGCACUUCCCCUGGUCAAGUAAAACAAGCUUAUUUGGAAAGAAAUAUUUUCUGAACUAAAAUAUUACUAAUUUCUCCACACUACCACUACCACCCACCAUUAUCUCCACCACCUCACAUCUCCUCCACCACCCCUCCACCACUUGGCCACCGUUACCGCCACCUCUAUCAUCACCAUAUCCACCAUCCCCCCACCACCUCCACCCCACCAUUACUAUCGCUACCUCCACCGCCACAGCCACUGCUACCGCUAAUAAAACAACUAGCACAAUUAGUUUCAAGGUUGUACAGCCACGUGCACCUCUACCACCCCACCACCACUGCCAUCUCCACCUCCAUCAUCACCUCUACCAACCCACCACCACCACCUCCACCCCAACCCCCACCCCCGUGGCCACUAUCACUACAUCCAGCACCGCCGUUGAUAAAAUUACUAGCUCAUUUGUUUCAAGUUUGUAUUAAACAUAGAAAACAUAGAAAAAUGUUAUGACUGGAAAAUAUUUUAUGAAAAAUUAUUUCAUAAAAAAGGCAUUCUAUUGUGAAAUAUUUUUAGCCGAAACAAACGGGCAGAAUGAAAUAAGGGAAUCACAUGCAUGGAUUAGUUUUCAACAUAAUUGGAGAUUGUGAUUAGCUUAUGCUUUUUUUUCUUUUCUUUUCUUUUCUUUUCUUUUUUUAAAAUUGUGAACCAAGCAGGCAUGAGACUGAGUAGUCGCAAUGAGAAAACCAGAGGAUUCAUUCAUCUUGUGUGCUCAUGCUAUAUUGCUGACGGCACAAGUUUUCACACAGCUAUUUAGAUGGAUCCUCUUCCUCCUAGUUGACUUUUUUGUGGAAGCAAAAGUUGGGUCUACCCAAAAAUAAUACGUGUCACCACAAAGAAGCUUGUCUUUUCUUCUUGACCAUUGGGUAAUAAUGAACAAUGAAAAGUAUUAAUGUACUUGUGUUUAGGCAUAUGAUUGAACCUACUUUUCAAAGAGUAGGAGCUUUCAUUCUUUAAAUUCUUAUAUUAUCCAUACUUCCCCUCCCAUCUCUAUGUUACGUUCCGGUGCUAUUUGAGCUUCAUGUGUAUCGUCUUUCUAAGUUAUUGGUUUUGAGUUGGAUAUUAUUUCUGAGGUAGUUAUAUAGAGGUAUUGUAUGGGGAAAUUUGAAAAAAAGUAUAUGUAUAUAUAUAGUAAUAAUUGAGUCAAAACUUAUUUUAUCUCA